UACGUAGGGUGCAAGCGUUGUCCGGAAUUAUUGGGCGUAAAGAGCUCGUAGGCGGUUCGUCGCGUCGGCUGUGAAAACCCGGAGCUCAACUCCGGGCCUGCAGUCGAUACGGGCGGACUCGAGUUCGGCAGGGGAGACUGGAAUUCCUGGUGUAGCGGUGAAAUGCGCAGAUAUCAGGAGGAACACCGGUGGCGAAGGCGGGUCUCUGGGCAACUACUGACGCUGAGGAGCGAAAGCGUGGGGAGCGAACAGG
rnacentral:rRNA from 1 species